GUCACAAACCGAUCCCGGUAUCUUGUCCCUCUCCGUUGCACAGAUUUCAAAACCAUAGCUACUGAGCUUCAGUUCUUGUGUUAUAAUGAAUUGACUGGUCAAGAAACUGGGUGCUGCUAGAGGCAGUGGCACCAGCAUGAUUCUGCCUCUGAUGUCCAAGUGAUCAAAUUUCAGAAGUGAUGGAGAUGUGGGAUGCAAAAUACUGGGUAGCAGCAGGAAGGUGAAUUAGUAUGAGCAAUUUGGCUGCUCACUUGAGAAUGUGGUGGAUAAACCACCAAAGGGAUUUUAAUUCUGAGUAGAUAUGGUUGCAUUGGGGGAAUCCACCAGUGCGAGUUAGAUGUUAGCGAAGGAUUCCCUUAACGCAACAAUAUCUUUAUCAAAAUUUAAGAAGACUCUGAGUAAGUGCCAAGGAACUUUGCAUUAAAGGACAGUGAUCUCUGCACUUGUUGUUGGAUGUGGAACUUGAUGAUUCAACGAGGACCUCUACCUCUUAUUUUUUUUAGUUAUAAUAAAGAAUUUGGGGGUUCAUUGUAUUGAAGACAUGAAAAUUUAUAUGAAGCCUUACAUCACAGGGAAUUUGUAAAGGGAAAGCUGAAACCUGUAGUUCUGACAAUCACAGGAAUGAAGGUAAAUUGCAGAUCAGCCAGGAGUCAAGUUUUCAGGGACAGAGGAUAUAGUUAUUGCCAUAUUGAUAUGUUGAGGUUUCUAUCCUUAGAGGUCAAUCAUAUAGUUGGUGAUCAUUAAUGACUAUGAACACUGGAGAGAGGGAGGAAUUUGGAGUGGUUUGCCAUGCAAAAAAUGCAAAAUGAUAUUUGAUUUAAUUGAAUAUCAGUAGAAUCAGCAGAUCUGGGGAUGCUUACAUGGGCUUUAGCUUUACAAGCUCUUCCAUUUUUGGAGUGAACCCGAGUCUAAUAUUUCCUUCUUUUGAUAUUCACUUUUUAUUAGAUGCUGUCAUGGAACUUGCUUGAAGCAGACUCUAGUAAUUCAGCAGUUCUUACCAAAGUGCAGCAAUUAAUUGGUGGCUUCUUCCAACUUUCGGUGUUUUCAAGUGAGAUUUUUGGGGUCAUGCUAUGAUUCUGAACUCGAGCAGAUUAGUAGAAUUCAUAAUUGUCUUGAAAGUUCUUGAUUCAAUAAUAUACAAGGAAUGGUGUCCAAAUCUUUUCA